rnacentral:rRNA from 1 species
AGAGUUUGAUCCUGGCUCAGGACGAACGCUGGCGGCGUGCUUAAUACAUGCAAGUCGAACGGAGUUAAGCGCUGGUCUGAUGCUAGCUUGCUAUUGGAUAUCCUUGCGUAACUUAUUGGUGGACGGGUGAUUAACGCGUGAGUAACCUGCCUCUCAGUGGGGAAUAACGCCCUGAAAAGAGCGCUAAUACCGCAUAACACAUAUUGACCGCAUGAUCGGUAUGUCAAAGAUUUAUCGCUGAUAGAUGGACUCGCGUCCGAUUAGCUACUUGGUGAGGUAACGGCCCACCAAGGCGACGAUCGGUAUCCGGACUGAGAGGUUGAACAGCCACAUUGGAACUGACACACAGGCCACACUCCUACGGGAGGCAGCAUGGGGGGAUAUUGCACAAUGGGGGAAACCCUGACGCAUCAACGCCGCGUGGAGGAUGACGGCUUUCGGAUUGUAAACUCCUGUGUUAAGGGACGAACUAACACGGUACCUUAUGAAUAAGCUCCGGGUAACUACGUGCCAGCAGCCGCGGUAAUACGUAUGGAUCAAGCGUUGUCCGGAUCUACUGGGUGUAAAGGGUGCGUAAGCGGCUUGGUAAGUCAGAUGUGAAAUGUAAAGGCUCAACCUCUGACCUGGAUCUGAAACUAUUGAGCUUGACUGAUGUACAGGCAGGCGGAAUGCCCUGUGUAGCGGUGAAAUGCGUAGAGAUAGGGAGGAACACCAGUGGCGAAGGCGGCCUGAUGGGCAUUAACUGACGAUGAGGCACGUAAGCGUGGGUAGCAGACAGGAUUAGAUACGUUGGUAGUCCACGCUGUAAACGAUGAUUACUAGGUGUGGGUGGACUGACCCCAUCCGUGCCGCAGUUAACACAAUAAGUAAUCCACCUGGGGAGUACGGCGGCAAGGUUGAAACUCAAAGGGAUUGACGGGGGCCCGCACAAGCAGUGGAGUAUGUGGUUUAAUUAGAAGCGACGCGAAGAACGUGACCAGGUCUUGACAUCGAGUGACGAUUAUAGAGAUAGGAUUUUCGUUCGGGACACGAAGACAGGUGGUGCAUGGUUGUCGUCAGCUCGUGUCGUGAGAUGUUGGGUUAAGUCCCGCAACGAGCGCAACCCUUGCUAUUAGUUGGUACGCAAGAGCACUCUAAUAGGACUGCCGUUGACAAGGACGGAGGAAGGUGGGGACGACGUCAAAUCAUCAUGCCCCUUAUGACCUGGGCUACACACGUACUACAAUGGCCGUAAACAGAGGGAAGCAAUACAGCGAGGUGGAGCAAACCCCUAAACGCGGUCUCAGUUCAGAUGGCAGGCUGCAACCCGCCUGCAGGAAGUGGGAUUGGUUGGUAAUGGCGGAUCAGCAUGCCGCGGUGAAUAAGUUCCCGGGCCUUGACACACCGCCCGUCA